UCAUCCUCAUCAUCCUCGUCC
rnacentral:miRNA from 1 species